UACGUAGGGGGCAAGCGUUGUCCGGAUUUAUUGGGCGUAAAGGGCGCGUAGGCGGCCUGCUAAGUCGAACGUGAAAUCCCCGGGCUCAACCCGGGAACUGCGUCCGAUACUGGAGGGCUUGAAUCCGGGAGAGGGAUGCGGAAUUCCAGGUGUAGCGGUGAAAUGCGUAGAUAUCUGGAGGAACACCGGUGGCGAAGGCGGCAUCCUGGACCGGUAUUGACGCUGAGGCGCGAAAGCCAGGGGAGCAAACGGG
rnacentral:rRNA from 1 species